rnacentral:lncRNA from 1 species
AACAGAAUUUCAUGAAACUUUGACAGUAAUAAGAACACAAUAAAGAUAUUUCAAAUCCCUGAAUUUUGUUCGGGUUUAAGCUUUUUGAAAAUUCCAUAAAUCUUCCACUGAAACAAUUUGUCAGAUCAAAUCCUGAAACUCUGCUCAACUCCUGAAACAACUCGGGAGAAUUUCAUGAAACUUAGUAGUUAGUUAGGACACAGCUGUGCAUAUUAUCAGAAAAUUUUGAUCCCAUGAAAUUCUUUGAAGAUAUAUAGCUCUUUAAAAGUAAAAAAAGAUAUUCCACAUGCAGUUUGACAGAGCAACUUCUUUGAAGCCAUAGAACAG